UUAAUUGAAACCAAAUUUUAGGUAAAUUAUUGUUAAUAAUUUUUUUGAAAUUAAUAUUUUCCAAUUAAA
rnacentral:tRNA from 1 species